GACGAACCGUGCGACCGUUGUUCGGAAUCACUGGGCUUAAAGGGCGCGUAGGCGGCCGGGUUGGUCGUGGGUGAAAUCCCUCAGCUUAACUGGGGAACUGCGUCCGAUACUGGAUGGCUUGGAUUUGGGAGAGGGAUGCGGAAUUCCAGGUGUAGCGGUGAAAUGCGUAGAUAUCUGGAGGAACACCGGUGGCGAAGGCGGCAUCCUGGACCAAUAUUGACGCUGAGGAGCGAAAGCUAGGGGAGCAAACGGG
rnacentral:rRNA from 1 species